rnacentral:rRNA from 1 species
CGCAUCUGUGCAUGCAGCAUAUCAAUAAGCGGAGGAAAAGAAACUAACAAGGAUUCCCCUAGUAACGGCGAGUGAAGCGGGAAGAGCUCAAAUUUGAAAUCUUAAAGGGUUUCCCUUUACGAAUUGUAGUUUAAAGAAGUGUUUUCUGUUGAGGUUUUGGUAAAAGUUCUUUGGAAUAGGACAUCAUAGAGGGUGAGAAUCCCGUAUUUGACCUUUACUUUCAACUUUGUGAUACACUUUCAAAGAGUCGGAUUGUUUGGGAAUGCAGUCCAAAAUGGGUGGUAAAUUUCAUCUAAAGCUAAAUAUUGGCGAGAGACCGAUAGCGGACAAGUACCGUGAGGGAAAGAUGAAAAGAACUUUGAAAAGAGAGUUAAACAGUACGUGAAAUUGUCAAAAGGGAAGCGUUUGACACCAGUGUUGUUUUUCUGAAAAUCAAUUAAAGAACCGUUUAUGCUAAGUUGUUUAGACUUUAUCAGCUAACUGUUUAGUUUUGAGCUUUUCUUUAAUGCACUUUUCAGUUAACAAGUCAACAUCAAUUUCUUUUGCUGUAAAAAAGCUUGAGGAAGGUGGCUUGAGAUUCGUCUUAAGUGUUUAUAGCCUCUUGCCUAUGCAGUCGGAGAGAUUGAGGUCUGCAGCGUAGAUCCUUCGGGGCUAAAUGCAUUUGUGCUAAGUUAUAGCAUUUUAUAGACAACUUGUUGACUAUGAUUUGUCUUGUAGCUUACUCGCUUAUGUUAUUUUACCUACGCUUAGGAUGUUGAAGAUGUAGCACAUCAU